rnacentral:rRNA from 1 species
GACGAACGCUGGCGGCGUGCUUAACACAUGCAAGUCGAACGGAAAGGCCCUGCUUUUGUGGGGUGCUCGAGUGGCGAACGGGUGAGUAACACGUGAGUAACCUGCCCUUGACUUUGGGAUAACUUCAGGAAACUGGGGCUAAUACCGGAUAGGAGCUCCUGCUGCAUGGUGGGGGUCGGAAAGUUUCGGCGGUUGGGGAUGGACUCGCGGCUUAUCAGCUUGUUGGUGGGGUUGUGGCUUACCAAGGCUUUGACGGGUAGCCGGCCUGAGAGGGAGACCGGCCACAGUGGGACUGAGGUAGGGGCCAGACUCCUACGGGGGGCAGCAGUGGGAAAUAGUGCACAAUGGGCGGAAGCCUGAUGCAGCAACGCCGCGUGCGGGAUGACGGCCUUCGGGUUGUAAACCGCUUGCGCCUGUGACGAAGCGUGAGUGACGGUAAUGGGUAAAGAAGCACCGGCUAACUACGUG